GGGAGAUGUAGUUCUCCAUGCAGUGGGAUGAAGGGAGAUGUAGUUCUCCAUGCAGUGGGAUGAUGGGAGAUGUAGUUCUACAUGCAGUGGGAUGAUGGGAGAUGUAGUUCUCCAUGCAGGGGAUGAUGGGAGAUGUAGUUCUCCAUGCAGUGGGUGAUGGGAGAUGUAGUUAUCUAUGCAGAGGAUGAUGGAAGAUGUAGUUCUCCAUGCAGUGGGAUGAUGGGAGAUGUAGUUAUCUAUGCAGUGGGAUGAUGGGAGAUGUAGUUAUCCAUGCAGUGGGAUGAUGGGAGAUGUAGUUCUCUUUGCAGUGGGAUGAUGGGAGAUGUAGUUCUCCAUGUAGGGGAUGAUGGGAGAUGUAGUUCUCUAUGCAGGGGAUGAUGGGAGAUGUAGUUCUCUAUGCAGGGGAUGAUGGGAGAUGUAGUUCUCCAUGCAGUGGGUGAUGGGAGAUGUAGUUAUCUAUGCAGGGGAUGAUGGAAGAUGUAGUUCUCCAUGCAGUGGGAUGAUGGGAGAUGUAGUUAUCUAUGCAGUGGGAUGAUGGGAGAUAUAGUUCCCUUUGCAGUGGGAUGAUGGGAGAUGUAGUUCUCCAUGUAGGGGGAUGAUGGGAGAUGUAGUUCUCCAUGCAGUGGGGUGAUGGGAGAUGUAGUUAUCCAUGCAGUGGGAUGAUGGGAGAUGUAGUUAUCUAUGCAGGGGAUGAUGGGAGAUGUAGUUAUCUAUGCAGGGGAUGAUGGGAGAUGUAGUUCUCUAUGUAGUGGGAUGAUGGGAGAUGUAGUUCUCCAUGCAGGGGAUGAUGGGAGAUGCAGUUAUCUAUGCAGGGGAUGAUGGGCGAUGUAGUUAUCUAUGCAGUGAGAUGAUGGGAGAAGCAGUUCUCCAUGCAGUGGGAUGAUGGGAGAUGUAGUUAUCUAUGCAGUGGGAUGAUGGGAGAAGUAGUUCUCCAUGCAGUGGGAUGAUGGGAUAUGUAGUUAUCUAUGUAGUGGGAUGAUGGGAGAUGUAGUUCUCCAUGCAGGGGAUGAUGGGAGAUGUAGUUAUCUAUGCAGGGGAUGAUGGGAGAUGUAGUUCUACAUGCAGUGGGAUGAUGAGAGAUGUAGUUCUCCAUGCAGUGGGUGAUGGGAGAUGUAGUUCUUCAUGCAGUGGGUGAUGGGAGAUGUAGUUCUUCAUGCAGGGGAUGCUGGGAGAUAUAGUUCUCCAUGCAGUGGGUGAUGGGAGACGUAGUUCUCCAUGCAUUUGGUGGUGGGAGAUGUAGUUCUCCAUGUAGUGGGAUGAAGGGAGAUGUAGUUCUCCAUGCAGUGGGAUGAUGGGAGAUGUAGUUCUACAUGCAGUGGGAUGAUGGGAGAUGUAGUUAUCUAUGCAGGGACGAUGGGAGAUGUACUUCUCCAUGCAGUGGGUGAUGGGAGAUGUAGUUCUUCAUGCGGGGGAUGAUGGGAGAUAUAGUUCUCCAUGCAGUCGGUGAUGGGAGAUGUAGUUCUCCAUGUAGUGGGA